CAAGUCCCAGAAGGUCAUGUUGGGGUGUAUUGGAGAGGAGGUGCCCUUCUAAAAACAAUUACAGAGCCAGGUUUUCAUCUAAAACUGCCUCUGAUAACUCAGUAUGAGCCUGUUCAAGUGACACUUCAGACAGAUCAAGUGAGGGAUAUUCCAUGUGGUACUAAAGGGGGUGUCAUGAUUAACUUUGAAAAGAUAGAGGUUGUUAACCGGCUUCGUAAGGAUUAUGUAUAUGAGACACUGCUCAACUAUGGUGUGCAGUAUGACAACACAUGGAUAUAUGACAAGAUUCAUCAUGAAAUCAAUCAGUUCUGCAGCUCUCACUCUCUCCAACAAGUCUACAUUGAUGUGUUUGACCAGAUUGAUGAAAAGAUGAAAGAUGCUCUUCAAGUUGAUUGCACACGUUAUGCUCCUGGAAUUGAAAUUAUAAGUGUGCGUGUCACAAAGCCUACCAUUCCAGAAAGCAUAAGAAGGAAUUUUGAGCAGAUGGAAGAAGAGCGCACUAAGGUUUUGAUUGCUAUUGAGAGGCAGAAAGUAAUCGAGAAAGAGGCAGAGACAACAAAGAAGAUGGCUAUAAGUGAAGCUGAGAAGAAUGCCAAUGUGAGCAAGAUCCUAAUGGAGCAGAAAUUGAUGGAGAAAGACAGUGCAAGGAGACAGCAAGAAAUUGAGAAUCAAAUGUAUAUGGCUCAGGAAAAAAGCCUGGCUGAUGCUUCCUUUUACCGCGUGAUGAAAGAAGCUGAAGCAAACAAGUUAAAGCUUACUCCUGAAUUUCUUGAACUGAAAUUUAUUGAAGCUAUAUCUGAUAAUACAAAAAUUUUCUUUGGGGAUAAGGUGCCAAACAUGGUUCUUGACCAGAGACUGCUAGGCAAUUUCCUGCAAAGGGUUUCUGGAGGGAUGGCUAGAGAGGGAAACUUGGAAGAGGGACCAACAGAGUGAUCAGAAGCUUAGACUAAAUUCAGUAAAUCCGUCCAUGUUUUGUGUUUGUGUUUGAGUUGACGUUUUGGGUGAUCCCUUAUGUUUUUUU
rnacentral:misc_RNA from 1 species